rnacentral:rRNA from 1 species
UACGUAGGGGGCAAGCGUUAUCCGGAUUUACUGGGUGUAAAGGGAGCGUAGACGGCUGUGCAAGUCUGAAGUGAAAGCCCAGGGCUCAACCCUGGGACUGCUUUGGAAACUGUGGAGCUAGAGUGCUGGAGAGGUAAGUGGAAUUCCUAGUGUAGCGGUGAAAUGCUUAGAGAUCAUACAGAACACCGAUUGCGAAGGCAGCUUACCAAGCUACUUCUGACGUUGAGGCACGAAAGCGUGGGGAGCAAACAGG